GACGAACGCUGGCGGCGUGCCUAAUACAUGCAAGUCGAACGCACAGUUUAUACCGUAGCUUGCUACACCAUAGACUGUGAGUUGCGAACGGGUGAGUAACGCGUAGGUAACCUGCCUAGUAGCGGGGGAUAACUAUUGGAAACGAUAGCUAAUACCGCAUAAUAUUAAUUAUUGCAUGAUAAUUAAUUGAAAGGUGCAAUUGCACCACUACCAGAUGGACCUGCGUUGUAUUAGCUAGUAGGUGAGGUAACGGCUCACCUAGGCGACGAUACAUAGCCGACCUGGGAGGGUGAUCUGCCACACUGGGACUGAGACACGGCCCAGACGCCUACGGGAGGCAGCAGUAGGGAAUCUUCGGCAAUGGACGAGAGUCUGACCGAGCAACGCCGCGUGAGUGAAGAAGGUUUUCGGAUCGUAAAGCUCUGUUGUAAGAGAAGAACGGGUGUGAGAGUGGAAAGCUCACACUGUGACGGUAUCUUACCAGAAAGGGACGGCUAACUACGUG
rnacentral:rRNA from 1 species